rnacentral:rRNA from 1 species
UAAACGACUCUCGGCAACGGAUAUCUCGGCUCUCGCAUCGAUGAAGAACGUAGCGAAAUGCGAUACUUGGUGUGAAUUGCAGAAUCCCGUGAACCAUCGAGUCUUUGAACGCAAGUUGCGCCCAAAGCCAUUAGGCUGAGGGCACGUCUGCCUGGGCGU